GCUGGUGUGGUGUAACCUGGUAACACGCGUGCUUUGGGAGCACGAGACACAGUUCGAAUCUGGCACCAGCGACCA
rnacentral:tRNA from 1 species